CCUACGGGUGGCAGCAGUGGGGAAUAUUGGACAAUGGGGGGAACCCUGAUCCAGCCAUGCCGCGUGUGUGAAGAAGGCCCUCGGGUUGUAAAGCACUUUCAGUGAGGAAGAACGCCUGGUGGUUAAUACCCAUCAGGAAAGACAUCACUCACAGAAGAAGCACCGGCUAACUCCGUGCCAGCAGCCGCGGUAAUACGGAGGGUGCGAGCGUUAAUCGCAAUUACUGGGCGUAAAGCGCGCGUAGGUGGCUUGAUAAGCCGGUUGUGAAAGCCCCGGGCUCAACCUGGGAACGGCAUCCGGAACUGUCAAGCUAGAGUGAAGGAGAGGAAGGUAGAAUUCCCGGUGUAGCGGUGAAAUGCGUAGAGAUCGGGAGGAAUACCAGUGGCGAAGGCGGCCUUCUGGACUGACACUGACACUGAGGUGCGAAAGCGUGGGUAGCAAACAGGAUUAGAUACCCUUGUAGUC
rnacentral:rRNA from 1 species